rnacentral:rRNA from 1 species
UACGUAGGUGGCAAGCGUUGUCCGGAUUUAUUGGGUUUAAAGGGUGCGUAGGCGGCUUUGUAAGUCAGUGGUGAAACAUGGCAGCUCAACUGUCAGGGUGCCAUUGAUACUGCAGAGCUUGAGUACAGAUGAGGUAGGCGGAAUUGACGGUGUAGCGGUGAAAUGCUUAGAUAUCGUCAAGAACACCUAUAGCGAAGGCAGCUUACUAGGCUGUAACUGACGCUGAGGCACGAAAGUGUGGGGAUCAAACAGG